rnacentral:rRNA from 1 species
UACAGAGGGUGCAAGCGUUAAUCGGAGUUACUGGGCGUAAAGGGCGCGUAGGCGGUCUUGUAAGUUGGAUGUGAAAUCCCUGGGCUCAACCUAGGAACUGCAUUCAGUACUGUAAGACUAGAGUAUUGUAGAGGGUAGUGGAAUUUCCGGUGUAGCGGUGAAAUGCGUAGAGAUCGGAAGGAACACCAGUGGCGAAGGCGGCUACCUGGACAAAUACUGACGCUGAGGCGCGAAAGCGUGGGGAGCAAACAGG